UGGCUCGGUGGAGCGGAGAGGCAGGCGGGCAGGAGCCGAGGACGGCAUGUCCCAGGCCCCGGGAGCACAGCCGAGCCCACCCACUGUGUACCACGAACGGCAGCGCCUGGAGCUGUGUGCCGUCCACGCCCUCAACAACGUUCUGCAGCAGCAGCUCUUUAGCCAGGAGGCUGCCGAUGAGAUCUGCAAGAGGUGACCGUCACCCACCCCAGCCCCUGGAGCAGCAGGGCUCUGGCGGAGUGACCCACCUGGGUCUCGCCGCCAGGCAGGCGCUGAGCCUUGGGGGCUUUCUUCUGCCCCGCGCUCACUUGCCUAAGCUAGACGCUGGGACUCUGGGG
rnacentral:sRNA from 1 species